rnacentral:rRNA from 1 species
CAGCCGCCACGGUAACACGUAGGUGGCAAGCGUUGUCCGGAAUUAUUGGGCGUAAAGGGCUCGCAGGCGGUUUCUUAAGUCUGAUGUGAAAGCCCCCGGCUCAACCGGGGAGGGUCAUUGGAAACUGGGAAACUUGAGUGCAGAAGAGGAGAGUGGAAUUCCACGUGUAGCGGUGAAAUGCGUAGAGAUGUGGAGGAACACCAGUGGCGAAGGCGACUCUCUGGUCUGUAACUGACGCUGAGGAGCGAAAGCGUGGGGAGCGAACAGGAUUAGAGACCCCAGAGUCCCUGUCUCUUAUACC